rnacentral:rRNA from 1 species
AGAUUGAACGCUGGCGGCAUGCCUUACACAUGCAAGUCGAACGGCAGCACGGACUUCGGUCUGGUGGCGAGUGGCGAACGGGUGAGUAAUAUAUCGGAACGUACCCUGGAGUGGGGGAUAACGCAGCGAAAGUUGCGCUAAUACCGCAUACGAUCUACGGAUGAAAGUGGGGGAUUCGCAAGAACCUCAUGCUCGUGGAGCGGCCGAUAUCUGAUUAGCUAGUUGGUAGGGUAAAAGCCUACCAAGGCAUCGAUCAGUAGCUGGUCUGAGAGGACGACCAGCCACACUGGGACUGAGACACGGCCCAGACUCCUACGGGAGGCAGCAGUGGGGAAUUUUGGACAAUGGGCGCAAGCCUGAUCCAGCCAUUCCGCGUGCAGGAUGAAGGCCCUGGUUGUAAACUGCUUUUGAACGGUAACGAAAGCCUUACUUCUAAUACAGG